rnacentral:tRNA from 1 species
GGCUGUAGCUCAGUGGCAGAGCGUUUGCCUAGCAUGGGCAAGGCCCUGGGUUCCAACCCCAGCACUGCCA